AACUGGCCCGCCAGAACUGUGUGGAAUGGGAAAGCAGCAGUUCCCAAAGGAGAGGGUGUGGGGAUAAACAAAAAUGAAAACAUAGCAAUGGCAACAGCAAGAGCAGCACGUGUGGACCAGCCUCCAAUGAGCCAGAGUGGGUAUCACCCAAACCAAUGUACUCACGUGUGCACACAGCAAAUCCUGCCGGAAACGAGUGUCUGCCACUUUCUCUUCUCCUGCUCUGGCUGUCUCCAGGAAAACCCGCCACCAAGGCCUUCGCUCCCACUAAGCUGUGGAAAUGUGGCUCCUGGGGCCACAGCAGAGCAGCUGUUGCCUGCGUCCGAGGUGCUCCAUAGACGCCCAAGGACGAGUCUUCCGGGCAUGUGACAUUCUGAAACCACAAGUGUCCUUCUCCCCAGAAAAGAGGGAGCACCCACCUUUUUCUUUGUGUCAUGGUCCAUUACAUGUGACCAAAACAGAAUUCUUCCUAUCCAUGGUGACAGCUUUCAAGGAGCAGAUUUUGUCAUUUUUACUUCCAGUUCUCAGGCCUGCUCCCAUCUCCAAACUGGACGCAGCGAUGGGGCCUGGGGUGAGGAGAGGGCCGGGGCUGGAGCAGAGCAGCUGACGGACCUCCAGCCUCUGCAAGGCCUGUGGAGUGGCUUCCCCAGGCCGGCUGGUUUGUUGUGCUGGUCCCUGAUCAGUGGUCCCUGAUUAGUGGGAAUUGCCCAAACCUGCCAGGGGUGGACUCUAUUUAGGUUUAUAUAUUUAAGCAUAUAUAUAUGAUACAUGCUCAGCAUAUAGAAACACUUCAAAUCUUUCAGACCAUGGUUUCCCUCAGGCUCUGCCUUCCUUUUCUCUUUACCUCCUUUAUCAGCUCUUACUCCUUUUCUUCUUUCCCACUUCCGAUGGCUGGAGCCAAAGAGGAAGAGAUAAGGGAGUGUUGUCACAGUUGGGAAUUGUCAGGACGGGGAGAAAUACACCAUUUCAGUUCCUUUCCCAACUACUACUUCAAAUCUUUUUUUUUUUUUCUUCUUCUUCUUCUCCCCAAAGCCCCCCAGGUCGUAGUUGUAGAUUCUAGUUGUGAGGGCCUCUGGUUGUGCUAUGUGGGACGCCACCCCAGCAUGGCCUGAUGAGCAGUGUCACAUCUGUGCCCAGGAUCCGAACCAGCGAAACCCUGAGCCGCCAAAGCAGAGCACACGGACUUAACCAUUGGGUCAUGCGGCUGGCCCCUCAAAUUUUGAAUUAAAAAAAAAAUUCCUCUUAAGAAAUCCGAACAUGUCAGCAGAGAUCCCCACGGCCCCCUUGGUGAUAUGCGGCAUCUUUGCAGCCCUCUGGUGGUGGAGGCCUCGGGGCUGCUGGUGUCACCUGUGCUGAGGAGCACCACAGCCACUUGGAGGCAACUAGCAGAGGAGCUGAGGGUGGAGUGGACCCUGCUGACCAUACUGUGUAGGACAUGGACUUCAGGUGACCAGUUUCAUCCACAUUCACUUCUGGGCCCUUCUGACCAAUGGAUUCGAUUUCUAAAAAGCUAGCAAAGAUUAAGUACCCACAGAAGAAAGCAAGGCCAAGCUUGACUUCAU
ensembl:lncRNA